GGGCCUUUUCCUGUUGGUCCAGACCCCUCAAUCUGCCCAGAGAAGCCACGACAGAAGAGUGGUGAUUGGUGCAAGCGACAUGGGAUGAGGGUUCAGCACUGAUCAAGGUAUUGAGUGAAUUGGCUCUCACUAAGUAUGGCCUUUAAAAACUAUCUGCUGCAUUCCCCUUGGCAAAAUUUCAAUGGAGGUGCUUUACCUAAGUCUACUGAUGGAAUCUGACAUUUGGAAAAAGGGGACAAAACUUGAAGAGGCUCAAAGGCAUCCUGAGAAGAGAAGAAAGAGAAAGAAGUGUAAAAGACAGUA